rnacentral:rRNA from 1 species
UACGGAGGGUGCAAGCGUUAUCCGGAUUCACUGGGUUUAAAGGGUGCGUAGGUGGGCUUGUAAGUCAGUGGUGAAAUCUCCGGGCUUAACCCGGAACUGCCGUUGAUACUAUAUAUCUUGAAUGCCGUGGAGGUAAGCGGAAUAUGUCAUGUAGCGGUGAAAUGCUUAGAUAUGACAUAGAACACCUAUUGCGAAGGCAGCUUACUACACGGAGAUUGACGCUCAUGCACGAAAGCGUGGGGAUCAAACAGGA